rnacentral:lncRNA from 1 species
CAAUACCUUGCAAGACUCAGAUAGAUAUAGCAGCUUAACUCCAUCGCCUCUUCGGCAAGCGAUCUGACAGAGCCAACAGAAGACAAGGAUCUCUGUGAUCAUGGCAACUCUACAAGCCCAAAACCUCUUCUUUUCAUCAUCCUCUUCCUCCCCUUCGGGUCACCGGAAACUACGUGCCAGUCUCCAUGUUCCUGCCAGUCUGAGAACCAAGGGCGUCUCUCUUCCGAAGCUAAAUUUGGGAGGGCUGGGCUGUUGUUGGUAUGCAUCAUAAACCUUAUCUACUCAAAAUUACCUAUAUGAUUCUGAAUACAAAUAACAAUACAUUAUCAGGUGACACAUUUCCUGUUGGAUGUGCUUUCGAUGAAUGCAAUGUUCACCACAAGGUAUUGGCCUAAACUAAGCUACUCAAGUAUUUUUCUUUGAUUGGCUAAAAGAAGCAAUUCAACUCUUCUUUUCUGAAAAUUAUAUUGACUCCAACAGUAUUUUCCAGAAAACCCUGAUCACCUUAAUCCUAAAUACAAUACCAUGCUCAGAGUUUAUUCAGAGGGGUGUGGACUUAACAUUGUACUGAUGUCAUGGGGGGUUGAUGAUUAUAUGUACUUGGUAUGUUCUUGAGAAUACAUGCCAUUCUUUUAUGGAUCACGCAAAUUAAGAAGAAAAGUGUCUUAUGGUCUUAAAUUAAUUGAUUCAUCAAUUUCAGAUUGCUAAGGAGAACAAAACUUCUUUGCCCUUGGCUGGUUUGUUUAUAAUCCGUUACCAUUCGUUUUACUGUAAGUUUAUGAACUUUUGACUUGGUGUUUCACAAUCUGAUUCUUCGGCUCGCUUAUAUCGUGCCAAAUUCCAAAUUAUUUUCUCAGCUCUGCACAAGCAUGGUGCCUAUCAGUACCUCAUGAACAAGGAGGAUAAAGAGAAUCUCAAGUGGCUUCGUGUGUUCAAAGUAAGAUUUAAGAUUUGUCAUCCUCAAGCAAUCAAUUGUACUAAUUCUCAUUCAUCUUGAUUGCUCAUCAAGUUUCUGCAGCUGUAGAUGCUUAUAGUGUCUCCACUCUGUUGCAGCAAAUAUGACCUUUAUAGCAAGAGCAAGGUGAGAAUAGAUGUGGAGAAGGUGAAGCCAUACUACGUUUCACUCAUCGAAAAGGUUUGCAUGCCCAUCUAGCUUUCUUAGACCUCAACUUAUCCUUUUAUCUCACCAUACCAAGUCAACCCAAUGUUUGUUGCAGUACUUCCCUGCCAUGCUGAAAUGGUGAGGUUUCUUGAUGGUGAUUCAUUUCCUGUGGUCUUCAUGGAGCAGCGAGCUUGAUAACCUAUUCCUUUAAGCAUUUGAUCGAUCAUACGAGAAGUUGUCUUGUGUUUUUUUAUUCAUGACACAGGUUGGCAGCUUGAUAUGUAAAACUUACUGAUGCAGUGCAUAAUAUACUGUCAAUAACUGUGAUUAUGUAAAACUUACUGUCAAUUCAUUCGUUCAUUAAUUUCUAUCUCAAAUUAAAUAUAUUUUUUAAUUAUUUUUUACAUUAAUCUCAAUUUCAAGCAUAGUCACAAAAUACAAGAAGUCUAGAUUAAUUAUAUCAUUUGAUCCUUUUUGUUGCCUUGAUGUCAUUGACCGUGGAGUCGACACAGCUUGGUUCGGUCCCGAAUAUAUAAGAUCCUCCUAGGGGCUCACGAGGGUUCACGAGAGGAGGAUGGUGCGGGGAGCAGACCUGACUAACAGCGAUCCCGAGGCGUUGCUUGUUUCCUAGAGGCAGAUAUGGUGUCAUCCUGAGGUGCGCCUUAGUCUCACUGAGGUCCCUGCACAAGUAGUCAACUUCAAGGGGAUGUUCUUGACUCGACCCCUCCGAUAGUAAAGUUAGUUGGGAGAUGAAAAAUGAUAGAACUCUCUUCCCUUUUAGGCUUUUGGGGAGUUGGCUUUUAUACUUAAGCGGCCGAUGGAGUGAGGCCGACGAUCAGUCAGGGUACCCCUUACGUCCUCCAGGGGCUUAUUUAUGUUGAUGGUUAGUGGGCACACUUCUUUGUUGAUGGCUGACCUUCAUAAAAUCAUGGUUGAUUGGGGGCAACAAGUCGCUUGCGAUAGAUGACCCAAAAAGGGAAAAAGGAGAGAUGGGCCUUGUUGUCGGGGAUUAAUGUACCGUGCGAUUGGCUCGUGUGGCCCUCCUGAAGAUCUUGAUGGGCCGGGGUCAAUGGAUCAUGCUCCUGUCAACAACAACAACGGAGGGGCGUGGAUUCUUCUGCCUAUAUCAUCGCCAAGGUGAUAAUUCCUGAUUGGAUGAGCCGAGAUAUUGUAAUGCUUACGUCGUUACUUUCUCUAUCAAUUUACUAUUAAAUACUCUCAUUUUUAAUUUAUUAUAAAAUAUAUCUAAAUUCUGAGGGGCAUUUAAAUCAUUUUUAGAAUAUGAUAUUUUAUUUAUUACUUUUUCCUCCUCUCAAUGUGUUUCUCUCCCACUAAAUUAUAAAAAAUAAUAUUAUUAUUAGCAUAUUAUAUAUUUUUUAACAUAUGAUUCAAUCUGUAUACUCAUUGGUUCAACCAAUGACCAAAUGAAGACCUGACCGAGCCAAUAUCCGACAAAUAAUUCAGUAUGUAUCGGACUGAAUCACCCAUAAAAACUGCCAGGGUGACAUAAUUAAUCCACCUAAUAAUUCAUUACCGAUAUGGCGACAAAGUCUACCAUUCCAACUAUUUGAAAGUCCAACGCACUGACAUUGACGCCUUCUUCCAUUCUACUGAUUCAAAUAGCCUUACUUGGUCAACUAUUCAACCACCCACCACAACUAUAUAUACAGACCACAUAACACCCCUCCUCUUCAUCUCAUUACAAUACUUUGCAAGACUCAGAUAGAUAUAGCAGCUUAACUCCAUCGCCUCUUCGGCAAGCGAUCUGACAGAGCCGACGGAAGACAAGGAUCUCCGUGAUCAUGGCAACUCUACAAGCCCAAAACCUCUUCUUUUCAUCAUCCUCUUCCUCCCCUUCGGGUCACCGGAAACUUCGUGCCAGUCUCCAUGUUCCUGCCAAUCUGAGAACCAAGGGCGUCUCUCUUNN